UUUGCGAUUGCUCUGGAGCGCCGCAUUUCUUUUCCCACUCAAAAGCGCUUCUGUCAUAAUCCUCUGACAAUCCCUCUUGUUCGGGGAGUGAGAUAUCAUCUGGUCAAGUUUUAUACAUUUAACAUUCAUUUUAUAUGCGAGUAGUAGAAUAACUAAACCCUUUUCCGUGUUCCUUUCUUUGUAGGGAGAAGCAGAAGUUUUAACCAUCUUCCCAUGGCGUCUGACUUUUUUGAGGAAGGAGGUGCUGCAGCAUGGUGGGAGCUCCUGUAGCUGGAAUCUGGCCUCCCGUGUGGGUGUUAGAGGAUGCACCCACGAGCAGAAGCAGUGAGGUUCACAGUGGGGAAAAUGAACCCAGCAGUCCAUCCUAUCCCAUACCUGCCUGAGUACGGGAAGAGACCUCAUACAAGCCAGAAUGCAUCUGGGCUUGCAGCUCUUUUUAAUCAUAUUAAGUCCUAUUCAGAGUUAAUGGUGAGCUCAGUGAGAUGA
rnacentral:lncRNA from 1 species